rnacentral:lncRNA from 1 species
CCCAGCUAGCCUAGGGUUUUAAUUUUCUUGUGUUUGCAUAUGCACCUUUGUAAUUAAGUGAGUGUGCAGGUUCAUUCAUCUUUGAUAAACGUUAAUAUAUGAGCGAAAAUUGUAAAAAAAAGAGAGAAAUACUUAACUGCACUGGACAGAACAAAAUUGUACAUGCAUGAUAGAAUCAAACUAAAAGUGAUCAUUUGACGACAAUAUAUAUACAUUGUGAGCCGUG